AGGUUGACCUCGGAUCAGGUAGGGAUACCCGCUGAACUUAAGCAUAUCAAUAAGCGGAGGAAAAGAAACCAACAGGGAUUGCCCCAGUAACGGCGAGUGAAGCGGCAAGAGCUCAAAUUUGAAAGCUGGCCCCCUCGGGGUCCGCAUUGUAAUUUGCAGAGGAUGCUUCGGGAGCGGUCCCCAUCUAAGUACCCUGGAACGGGUCGUCAUAGAGGGUGAGAAUCCCGUAUGGGAUGGGGUGUCCGCGCCCGUGUGAAGCUCCUUCGACGAGUCGAGUUGUUUGGGAAUGCAGCUCUAAAUGGGUGGUAAAUUUCAUCUAAAGCUAAAUAUUGGCCGGAGACCGAUAGCGCACAAGUAGAGUGAUCGAAAGAUGAAAAGCACUUUGAAAAGAGAGUUAAAAAGCACGUGAAAUUGUUGAAAGGGAAGCGCUUGCGACCAGACUCGCCCACGGGGUUCAGCCGGCAUUCGUGCCGGUGUACUUCCCCGCGGGCGGGCCAGCGUCGGUUUGGGCGGCCGGUCAAAGGCCCUCGGAAUGUAACGCCCCUCGGGGCGUCUUAUAGCCGAGGGUGCCAUGCGGCCUGCCCGGACCGAGGAACGCGCUUCGGCUCGGACGCUGGCAUAAUGGUCGUAAGCGACC
rnacentral:rRNA from 1 species